rfam:Pteropus alecto contig25252, whole genome shotgun sequence.
AUCUACGGCCAUGCCACCCUGGAACAUGCCCCAUCCCGUCUGAUCUCGGAAGCUAAGCAGGGUUGGGCCUGGUUAGUACUUGGAUGGGAGACCACCUAAGAAAACCAGAUACUGUAGGCU